rnacentral:misc_RNA from 1 species
UUAAUUUAGUAUUUCUAAUUAAGAAUGAAUUAGGGCUCUAAAAUACUAAUGUGAUUGAGAUUCCUAAUUCUAUAAAUAAGACUUAGGGUUUCUGUUGUUAUUAGACAAGUUUUGGAUUAUGAUCAUUGUUGAGAUUAAAUAAAUUAUUGACAAUUAGUUUUCUUUUCCAAGGAUUGGUCCUUGAUUUCUCUUAGUUCUUUAUUCUUCUUUAUUUUUUCUACAUCAAUAAUAGAUAUUUCUCAAUUAGUUAAGAGGCAAAUAUGUAUAUUUAGCCGAUGUGUAAACAAAUGACAGAACUAUAACCAUCUUUACCAUCCUAAAUUCCUAAUACAUUAUCUUGGAUACAGAAUAAAUCAUUGGAUUUGUGAAUUAUCAACACCCUGCUUCAUUCUCAUAUUAAAUUGACCAUGUUACAGCUAAUAGACAUUGCUCAUAUUCUAGCCAUAUUGUUCAUCAAAUGAAAACUCAGGACCAUUAACAUUUAGCAAUUAAGAGAUAUCAAGGUCACACAGAAAAAGAUAAACCAAUGUAUAUAUAUAUAAAAACUUUGAACACAGCACUGUUACUAGAGACGAAUAAAUACCUGAGUGAGGCCAACAACACCAAUAAGCUGUAAGGUCUUCUCCCACUCUAUUAAUGCAUACAAUGCCGCAACAGAACCCACACCAUACCCAAGGACUUGCACUGGAGAAGCACUAAGAUCUUCUAGGAUUGCCUCGGCUUCCUCAUUCAGUAAGGUUAGUGCUGUCUCAGGUUUAAGUUCCUUGAUUCGAAGACCUUGUUUCACCCAGGACUGGAAGCCACCCUGGACCAAGUACGGUCUCUUAACCCCAAGUUUUCUCAAGGAUCUUGCAAUGCCUUUGGAAGAGAUACCGUCAGCAUCCAUAACUAUGACCUUGGACCUGAACAGCUUUCAAGUUUUGAAUAACUGCAGCAAUUAAGGUGCUGUCAAUGUCACUGCCACCUUUUAACAAUUUCCGCAGUGGUUCAUCAACCUUUGGUAGAGUUACACUUGCAUAGCGAAACCGAGCUGUUCGUCGAAUAUCAGGAAUGCCAUCUCUUUCUCUCAGAACCUUGACAAAGGAAAUGCCCAGCCCCGAAUUUCAGUGCAAGUAAAAUCAAAAUAAAAGAUGACAUCAGCCAUAGCCUUAAAAGUAAGCUAUUAUAGAACAUAGUUUGAAAAAGGAGAAACCCUUAAGUAGAACCAACUUCAAAACAAUAGGAGAAUUUGUUUCAGUUUAGGCUCUCUCAUGGAACUUUUACAUGAUCAACUGAACAAAAUAAAUGACCAGAAAAAUUUAAAAUCUCUUACCUCAGGCCGAACAUCAACAAGUACAGCAUUCUCCUCCCCAUUCAAAAGCUCUAAAGUUAAUUGAGGAGAUAAAUCUCCAGAGUAACCACCAUAAGCCCACACCCAAUAAAAAAUCCAAAGAGUGGCCGAGGUUCCAACGAGAAGAAAGAAUGGAACAAUUGGAUCAUUAGGAUCAAAGCCAAAAUUUUUCUCCAAUUCCUCAAUAGCAACGUAAACCUGCUGAAAAGAUGUACCAACAGGCCUCAAUAGUUGUACUGCUUUUUCUUCAGACAAAAUUAGUGAAUCCCUGAUCUCAGGAGGAAGUAGUCCCUUGGCAGACCCAUAAGCAUAAACAACAAAAGAAGCCCCUUUUACUAUCAAGUCCUCCACUGCAACAAUUGUGCCUCUCAACACAUCAACAGAACUGACUGUUGCUUUACUUGUGGCUUCCUUCAAGUCACUUGAAAAGCUAUUUAGUCUAUUGCCAGCCAAUCCUCUAGUUUGAUCUACAGCUGAAAACACCCCACUCAAGGCAUUAUCCACUGCUUCAGAAGCACUUUUUGUAAUUGAUGUUAUCGAUGAAGUAAUUGUAUCUAGUGAGCUUUUCACAACAUUUUCUCCCUCACUCACAGAAGUGUUGAUGGAGUCCCUAAUCCCAUCAAGAAAAUCAUCAAAACUAGUCUUCACACUAGAUAACGAAUCAUUAUCCAUAUCCAAGGAGUCAGAUUCUAUGCUGGGAUUCUCUGAUGUUAUAAUACUAGUUGGCAUGAGAUUGGGUUCCACAGGUCUUGCCAAACUAUCUGCAUUUUCUGUUGACUGGCCAGUAAAGUCCGUUAGUCCCUCUUUUACAUCAGAUAUGCUAUAACUUUCUACAUAUUCCACUUUCUCCCUACCCUUAAGGUCCAGUGCAUUGUAUAACUUGCAUUUAAUGUUAUUUAAUUCAUUUCUGCAGGUAGGAUUUUCAGUGAUUUCCAUGGGUACUGAUAGUUCAUUUCUUUCAUGGAAAAUGGGGUAAGAUGAUUUUGCAGCUUGAGUUUUAAAGGAAAUUCUUUGCCAAUGAGUUCCGUUUGGAAAGCCCAUACCAACUCUGUCUUCCACAAUACAUCUGGAUUCAGAAUCAUUCCGGUGUGGACAAAAGAGUUGCAGUCCUCCGUGGAAUGAAAUCUGAGGAUGAGAAGAACAGCAUGGGGUGGCUGAGCAAACAGGCAUCAUUUUUGUGUCAACUCAAUAUGAAACCCAAAAGAAUACCUCACAAAACUCCCAUUUUCUGCUUAAAAGCCAGAUAAAGUAAACAAAGUGAAACCAAACAAAUCACCAAAAAGGAAAGGAAGAAGGUAAAAUGAUUUGGACAAAACUAAGCUAUGAUGAAAGGAAACUAUCUGAAUUUACAACAAUAUAAUCAAUUUACAAGUGGACUUCAUGAGAUUCAAUCCUUGAGCCCAAAAGAAGUAAAGAUGUAAUAAAACUAGUCAACAGAGCAAACAAAAAUAUGCAUUUCAACCAAAAAAAUAAAAUAAAAUUUAACAAAAUAAAAUAACCGCCGCCUUGCUCCUUUUAUAUCAUUGUGGAUUAGAAAUUCAAAAAAAGAGAAAGAAAUAAAGAAAAGAAUGAUCAAAAUAAGCACAACUAAACCAAAGUCAAUAAAAUUCCUUAGUUUGUUUCUGAAAAUUUGAAACUCUACCACCAGUGAUAAAUGUAGAACUUAAAGAAAGUAAUGUAUAUAGAUCAAAACAAUCUAAAUUAAACCAGAACCAAGUGAAUUAAAGACGAUAAUGUCAGUAAUCCAAAUGAUUUUUUUCUUUUUUUUUUUUAAUUUUUUUUUCCCUUGUUUAGUAGGAGGU